CGUUAGCCUUGAAUGCUUUCGAAAGAUGAGGAAGAAUGAUGACUCUGGCAGACACGAAGAAAAUUUCUCCAAUGCGAAAGACGAAUGUAAAUAUAUACUUUAUCCCACAAUCGCAUGAGCGAAUGCGGAUAUCGGUGUUGUCGGGGCGGACUCAAACGCGAUAAAUGGCUUCAAAUGGCUUCCUCAGACUGCGGUAUGCAGAGGGGCUGACCUUCAAACGUUGGAGUAAUAACAAUAUCUACUCGUACAGUAAUUGACAAAGGCGGGAACGGCGCUAUAGACUCGGGAGGGUAAAGAGUAGCUGUUUCUUUGAAGCAAGUUUGGUGGUUGCAUGAAAGAGACCUCUUUUCUUGCCAGGUCCGGAAGUGG
rnacentral:sRNA from 1 species